rnacentral:lncRNA from 1 species
CCCCCCCCGAUGCGAGAGAAGCCGGAGCGCCGCGGCCCAUGCUGAUCCGUGUCCUCCUCCUCCUCCCCCUCAGGCGGCGCUGGCGGCGGCCCCGGGACCCGCGGAAGCCGGCAUGCUGGAGAAGCUGGAGUUCCAGGAGGAAGGUGAGUGCGCGACCCGCGCCCUGCGCUGCCGGCGGCGAGCACCGGGACUGCAGCCCACUCCGGGGAAGCACCGGGCUCCCGGGAUGCAGCCCGGUUCCUGGGGACGCAGUCCCGCUCUGAGGAAAGCACCCGGCCUCGGGGAAGCAGCCGAGUUCCUGGGGAUGCAGCCCUGUUCUGGGGUUGCGCCUGGUUCCGGGGAUGGAGCCCUGUUCCCGGGGACACAGCCUUGCUCCAGGGAUGCAGUCCGGUUCUCAGGGAAUCAGUCUGGCUCCCGGGGAUGCAGCUCUGCUCCAAGGGACGCAGCCGGGUUCUGGGGGACGCAGCCCCGAUCCCGGGAGCGGCCGC